AUUGAACGCUGGCGGAAUGCUUUACACAUGCAAGUCGAACGGUAGAGGGGGCAACCCCUCGAGAGUGGCGAACGGGUGAGUAAUAUAUCGGAACGUGCCCAGUCGUGGGGGAUAACGUAGCGAAAGUUACGCUAAUACCGCAUACGAUCUAAGGAUGAAAGCGGGGGACCGUAAGGCCUCGCGCGAUUGGAGCGGCCGAUAUCAGAUUAGGUAGUUGGUGAGGUAAAGGCCCACCAAGCCAACGAUCUGUAGCUGGUCUGAGAGGACGAACAGCCACACUGGAACUGAGACACGGUCCAGACUCCUACGGGAGGCAGCAGUGGGGAAUUUUGGACAAUGGACGCAAGUCUGAUCCAGCCAUUCCGCGUGCAGGAUGAAGGCCCUCGGGUUGUAAACUGCUUUUGUACGGAACGAAAAGGUCUCUCCUAAUACGAGGGGCUCAUGACGGUACCGUAAGAAUAAGCACCGGCUAACUACGUGCCAGCCGCCGCGGUAA
rnacentral:rRNA from 1 species